UUACGUCGCUUAGCUAACAAUACCGCACAAGUCAUAUUUUAGCCAAAUGACGUUUUUUACACCAUUCGAUAGAUUACUUUCCCGCGCGUCUGAUGAGCUCUCGCUAGAGGUAAUAUCGUCCAAUAAGAGCGCGUUAUUCAAAAACUAGUAACACAACACAACUCAUUGGCUGCGCUAACACCGCGCAAGUCAUCAUAACGCCAUAGUAAUUUGGCCGUGCCACGUCGCACCUUAUAAGAUCGUUUGUCGUUUUUAAAAAAGCGCAUUUUUUGUAACGGACUGGCCGCACUGAUGUAGUUUAAAGAACACGAAAAUGGACAAAUUGGUCGAUAAUGAUACCACGCCUGAUGACUUUUCAAGAGUUGACGCUCAAUGUAAAGUUAUUACUUUACGUGACUUACAAAAGAGACAUAGAGAAAAAAUGUUAUUAAAUACAUUGGGUAUUAAAGAAUGGUUUGUCCGAUACUGGUUGAUAACGACAGAUUGUGCUAUGCCACCGCCUUCUGAGAUUUCUCGGAAUGUAGAUUGCUCCAAAAAGAACUCUGAUGGUCACGAGCGUCUACAGCAAUUUUUAGAUAGCCUGCCGAAGAUGCCAUCGCACUACUGUCGAGCAAACUCAUCCAGACAAUACCUAGAACCAGUAUUUCAUACCAUGGCACAAUUAUACAAAGAAUACGUCAGUAAAUGCGAAUUGGAUUCCUUAAAAUGUCUUUGUCGUAGGGUUUUUGACAAUGUAUUCUUAAAACAGAAUCUUAGUCUGUUUCAUCCCAAAAAAGAUCAAUGCGAUGUAUGCUGUGGUCAUAAAGUUGGAAAUAUAAACGAUACUGAAAUUACAAUACAUCGCGAUAGGAAAGACAAAGCUAGAAAAGAAAAAGACACUGACAAAAAAUUGGCAAUAGAAGGAAAAACGUGUCAUGUAUUUACGCAAGAUGUUCGAUCAGUAAAAUUAGCUCCCUACCUUCAGGCUAGUGCCAUAUACUACAAGACAUUUUAUCUGUUCACAAUUUUACCAUGUACAAUUUGUCAACACGUGAAGCUUGCUGCUACUGGUUCGAUGAAUCAAAUGGCUCCCUUGAAGCUUCCGUUUUCGCAUCGUGCACUGUGGAUCAACUACAGAUAAUUUUAAAAAGAAAAUUACUACCGGUAAUAUUGUAUUCUGAUGGCUGCUGUGCACAAAAUCGAAAUUCCAUCUUAAGCAAUGCUCUUCUGCGUUUAUCCAUCGAUAAAAAAUUUAAAAUAAUUCUAAAAUUCUUAGAAAAAGGUCACACGCAGAUGGAAUGCGACUCUGUACACAGUGCCAUCGAAUGUAGAUUAAAGGGAAAAGAAAUUUACCUUCCUUCCCAGUAUGCGAAUAUAACAAAGACAGCUAGAGAUAACCCAAUGCCAUAUGAGUCUCGAUUAUUAGAAUUCUCUUUUUUUUACCAAUUUCAGUAAGGCUUUAAUUUACAAAACCAUUCGUCCGGGCAGAAAAUUCGGAGAUCCCACUGUUACCGAUUUAAGGGUAUUAAAAUAUAAACCAGAUGGAACUAUUUGGUAUAGCUUAAACUUUGACGAACCUUUGCAGCCGUUGCCUCAGCGUCCAAUGAAAAUUACCAAUAUAAAACCUUUAGAAGAGCUACCGAAAUUAUUUUCUGAAAGACUGCCAAUUUCCCAAAGAAAAUAUAAGGAUCUCCAAGAUUUAAAGGCAGUGAUACCUUCGAACUUCCACGCUUCCUUAUAAAAAUUAAAUAUUUUUCAUUAUUAGAUCCAUAAACAUUUUGUAUUAUUUUUAGAAGUAGGUUAAGUAUUCGAAGUGUUUAUUUUGUCUUGUAUUGUUUGUGUUAAAUGUACCAUUUUUAUUAAAGUUUUUGAGAGUUUAGAAUUAUAAGAAGUCAUG